rnacentral:rRNA from 1 species
GAAAAGAAACCAACAGGGAUUGCCCCAGUAACGGCGAGUGAAGCGGCAACAGCUCAAAUUUGAAAUCUGGCCCCCAGGGCCCGAGUUGUAAUUUGCAGAGGAUGCUUUUGGCGCGGUGCCUUCCGAGUUCCCUGGAACGGGACGCCAUAGAGGGUGAGAGCCCCGUCUGGUCGGACGCCUAGCCUGUGUAAAGCUCCUUCGACGAGUCGAGUAGUUUGGGAAUGCUGCUCUAAAUGGGAGGUAUAUGUCUUCUAAAGCUAAAUACCGGCCAGAGACCGAUAGCGCACAAGUAGAGUGAUCGAAAGAUGAAAAGCACUUUGAAAAGAGGGUUAAAUAGUACGUGAAAUUGUUGAAAGGGAAGCGCUUGUGACCAGACUUGGGCCCGGUGGAUCAUCCAGCGUUCUCGCUGGUGCACUCCGCCGGGUUCAGGCCAGCAUCAGUUCGCCGCGGGGGAAAAAGGCUUCGGGAACGUGGCUCCUACGGGAGUGUUAUAGCCCGUUGCAUAAUACCCUGGGGCGGACUGAGGUUCGCGCUCCGCAAGGAUGCUGGCGUAAUGGUCAUCA